rnacentral:misc_RNA from 1 species
GAAAUGCGAUACGUAGUGUGAAUUGCAGAAAUACGUGAACCAUCGAAUCUUUGAACGCAAAUUGCGCUCCUUGGUAUUCCUUGGAGCAUGCCUGUUUGAGUAUCAUGAAAUCUUCAAAGUAAAUCUUUUGUUAACUCAAUUGGUUUCUACUUUGGUAUUGGAGGUCUUUGCAGCUUCACACCUGCUCCUCUUUGUUCAUUAGCUGGAUCUCAGUGUUAUGCUUGGUUCCACUCGGCGUGAUAAGUUAUCUAUCGCUGAGGACACUGUAAAAGGUGGCCAAGGUAAAUGCAGAUGAACCGCUUCUAAUAGUCCAUUGACUUGGACAAUACUUUUAUGAUCUGAUCUCAAAUCAGGUAGGACUACCCGCUGAACUUAAGC